UAAAAGAGUGCUUCCUCCAGUUUGGGUUUAU
rnacentral:piRNA from 1 species